rnacentral:lncRNA from 1 species
GAACUUUUUGUGGCUUAAAAAUACUUACAAGCUAUUAAGUUGAAAUACAAAGUCAGAGAAUUACUUUACAGCAAUGCUGUUCUAUAAUGAAAAGGCACAAUACUUUCAAAGAUGUUUCAUGCAGAAAUAUGAUCUUUCUGAAGACACUUCAGUGGGUUAUGUAAAAAUAAAGGGAUACAUUUGUUUACUGGAAGGGGCAGACAUACCUAACCUGCCAGCCAGUUGGAGGAGAAGCAGCUGUUGAAUGAAAAAUUUCAUAUUCCUUCUUCUGUAAUUUAACAUAAUCAGGAAGUAGUUUGGUUUUCCUUUUCCUUUGCUUUGUAGGCUGGCACAAUAUCAUCCAUAUCCACUUCUGUGGUUGCUGACUGUGGCUCAGAGACCUUUGUAGUUCUGAGGGCUUUUGCAUCUUGAAGUGUUAAAAAGUAAAUGAAGCAAUCAACAGAGGACUUGGUCUAAAAAUAAUUUUGUUUCUCCUCUUUCCAUUGGAUUAUUGGGGAGUUCAAGCCUGUGAAGAGAGCUGUAGCUAUUCCUGCAUCCUCAAAUGUCACUGGGAUAGCUGGUGUUGAGUCUGGCAAUGGUGGUAGUUCUUGGUGCUGGUAACCAUUCAAUGGCUCUCUCCUUUUCCAGCCAUAUGUAAGUGAUCUGAGCACUGCCCUGGGUGUGUGAGUUGCUUCAUCACUAAUAUGUGUGACUUUCUGGAGGGAGUGUGUGGUCCAAGAGACCUCACAGAUUUCCUGAACAUGGCCCACACUGUAGUUACGUCUGUUAUUUAUUAUAUCCUUUCAGAAACAGAAGAUAAACUAUUUUCCCUAAUGACUGUGUUUUUUCAUAUGCUUAAAUAAGUUUCUGCUUGUAGAAGGGAGAUAUUUUGGCUCCCUUUUACUUAUUUUUCAGUGUACUAGUAUUUUCUGUAGAGGGGAGAUAUUUUGGCUCUCUUUUACUUAUUUUUCAGUGUACUAGUAUUUUUGUACAGCUCAGCUGGAAGAUUCACCACCUACGCAUUGGUUUUUUCCAGGACAAGAUAGAUAGCUGUUGAAAUAUGUGAAUAGUUAAAUUUUUUAACCUGUGUACUGUCUGGAAAAUGUUAUAAAGCAAAUUGUUGUGUGUUUCAGUUUUUAUGAUAUUUAAUAUUUAUAAUUAUGUGAUUGUUUGUUACAUUGGUAACUUUUGAGAUGUAUUUUGAGUCUCACGAAAAGCCACAGACUUAAUUUUGAUUGACUGGACGUGUGAAAAAAGUAGUGUUUGACCAUAAUUGGCAUGCAGAACAACUAAUGAAGGAUUUUUCAGGACAGAAAUCUGUGAAGAAAAUAUCAUCAGAUAUAGACAUCAUUGUAUCAUCCCUCAUUCAGCAUCGAGCCUCCCAAAUUAAGUAAGAGGAAGAAACUGACUGAGUUUUAUCUUCGAAUACG